GGGCGAUUGGCGCAGCGGGAGCGCAGAUGCUUUACACGCAUAAGGUCGGGGGUUCAAAUCCCUCAUCGCCCACCA
rnacentral:tRNA from 2 species